rnacentral:rRNA from 1 species
GACAGAGGAGGCGAGCGUUAUCCGGAGUCAUUGGGCGUAAAGGGUACGUAGGCGGCUAGUCAAGUCUGAGGUUAAAGACCACAGCUUAACUGUGGGAAGGCCUUGGAAACUGACUGGCUAGAGUGGGGCAGGGGUUGCGGGAAUUCCCGGUGUAGCGGUGAAAUGCGUAGAUAUCGGGAAGAACACCUGAGGCGAAAGCGCGCAACUGGGCCCUAACUGACGCUGAGGUACGAAAGCUAGGGGAGCGAAUGGGAUUAGAUACCCCAGUAGUCCUAGCCGUAAACGAUGGACACUAGACGUUGGCCGUACCAACCCGGUCAGUGUCGUAGCUAACGCGUUAAGUUGACCGCCUGGGGAGUACGGCCGCAAGGUUGAAACUC